GGCCUGCUGGCCUGCAUAAAAAUUGUGUACAGUAGCUUCAUAAUAAAACUGUUCGCCCUACUUGAUCGGCGUAGGCGUGACUCUUGCAAAGGUAUUGUUUGUCUUUAGGUCGCUCCUGAUCACAUACUUUUUCCUUACUCCUAGCUGUACCUAGGAGUUUUGAUCAUGCCGACUCCAGCUGAUCAGUCGAAUUGCGCUGGGGGCUCAAGGACUACAGUCAUACAGAGCACGUACGUACAUUGUCAUACCCUGUCAACGUUACCACGUCCUCGCGCACACCACCACCACCCACCACUCAAAAAGGCGUCGCUGCGCAACGUGCAGGUGUUGUCGAGGCUAGGAUGGGGCGCAGCGGCUUUGGUGAGUGGGUAAGGAGGCGAACCAUGCGCGGUGGUGGAGCACGUGCAACGGCAUUGUGGAGGUCAGUGCAAUCCCUCCGCGGUACAACACUAUCCGCGGAACCAACACUAUCCAGCAGAGUUGAGGCAGGGAAGUUGCACCUGCGGGGGAAGCAGGGUAAGCUCCGGGACCGAAACCCUCGUAGGCGAGGGUGGUGUUGCAGGAGGGUAGUGUUGUGAGUAGUGCACAUGACGGAGUGGUGAUCUGAUGAGGUGAGGUGAGGUGCUGCCACGCGGCGAGCUAUAGCCACCGGGCCCACCGGAGAUGCCACCGCCCCGACGGCGUGCCCUGCCCGCCUGCCGGGUAUGGGCCCCCCCGGGGUGAACUAACCCCCUGUUGCGGGUCGACAGACCAGCCCCUCAAUUAGAGCGGGGCCGGUCCGGCCAGGGACCAGUUAGUGAGGCCGGUCACGGCCAGGGACCGUUGCGUGGCCUCAGGGUGUGUCGAGUAGUGGCCUCAGUGUCGUGGUGAGGUAGCCACGGUGGCUUGUAGGGUUCUGUUCCAGGGCUCAAGGCGCCGAUAAGGCUGCACCUCAUCACGGGGAGGGGCGCCCCUCAAGGUGAUGCACCCGGGACCCACCCGGGGUGGGCAAACAGCCGCAUUUGCAAAUGGUGCGAAGGCUGCCUGAGGGGGAAUUGUGCCGCAGCACGUGCGGUGAGGUUGGUUGUGAGCCCGGGCCUUCGUAGCCACCGUGCACUCUUUCAUUAUCGAUUACAUGAGGUAGAGAUUCAGGGUCGCGCGCCCCCGGUCGAGCAGGAGGGGACUGUGGGCACCCCUCACGCCCCUCUCCUCCCUCCGCUAGGGGGAGAGUGCUUCGGCGGUCGUUGCCGUUGGGGUAUACGGUUAGGUGUUGGUGCACAACAGAAACAUAUACACACACAUACACGCAUCACACACAAAUACACAUACACACACAUACACACACAGGGUUUCCGGGUUUCCUCUGUCUUAGUGAACCGUGUUUGUGUGUCUGUGUUUGUCGCGAGAAACCGACCAGUGCCGCCGCAGAGACCAGAUCAGAAAGGCCAACCCAUGGUGCAUGGGGCGGAUACAGGGUACCGUGGGUGGGGCGCAGACGAGAUGUGCGCAUACAUACAUACAUACAUACAUACAUACAUACAUACAUAAUUAGUACAUACAUGCGUACAUACGUACAUACGUACAUACAUUCACACGUCCAUGUGCCCAUCCGUGCAUUUAUCCCGCCCUGUCCACCCAUCUGUUCACACAUAUAGCCAUCCGUUCCCGCUAUCCGCCCGUCCACAGUCCCUUUCCGGCGCGCCACUCCGCCUGCCAGCUGCGCUCUACACAGCCACACGGGAAACUCGGCAACAUCUGCUGCUGCUGCUGCGGUGGCCCCAAAUGCAUAAAAAAGAAUUUUGUCCUAACUUGGCUACUUCGCAACGCGGUAGAUAGUAAGUCUACAUCCCCCUGGCCAGACCACCUACGUAUCAAACUGGCUAUGUUAAACACAUGACGUCGGAAGUAGCAAUA
rnacentral:lncRNA from 1 species